UACGUAGGAGACGAGCGUUGUCCGGAAUUACUGGGCGUAAAGCGUGCGCAGGCGGUGAUGUAAGACCGAUGUGAAAUCCCCGGGCUUAACCUGGGAACUGCAUUGGUGACUGCAUCGCUCGAGUAUGGCAGAGGGGGGUAGAAUUCCACGUGUAGCAGUGAAAUGCGUAGAGAUGUGGAGGAAUACCGAUGGCGAAGGCAGCCCCCUGGGUCAAUACUGACGCUCAUGCACGAAAGCGUGGGGAGCAAACAGG
rnacentral:rRNA from 1 species